GCUAAUAAAAAUUUUUGGAUCCAUCCCAACUCUUAGUCCUAGCUGUCGCUGCUCCUUCAUCUUCGUCCUCCUCCUCCUACUUCUUUUUCUUCCCCCUUUUCUUCUUCGCUCCCUCUGAUCUUUCUACACAUGAAGGUUAAAGUUGCAUGUCUUGUAAUUUUUGUUUCUGGUUUUCAUCUUGCCGUUCUCUUUGCUGAGCACAAGCGCGAAUCGCCUCUCCUCAUUUCACUUCCUAUUGCGAGGCAUUGUAAUGAGCAUCGCAUCGCACCAUCAAUGCUCAUCUCGACCCAUCUAAUAGAGACCCAUAUGCAAAUACAUCCUUACUUUGAUAGCAUCAGAGAACCAUCCAUCCAUCCUUGCCUCGACACCAUCAGAGAUGGAAACCCAUCGUCGAUGUGCCUCAUGGUGAGAGAUAGUCGUUAAUAAGUGAAUAUUUCAAUGAUAUUUUUUUUCUAUUGAAUGUAAUUCUUCAAAUCUAUAAACUAUAGUUCUUCAAUGAUAUUUUUGUUGAUGUUUUGAUUGAAUUUGUCAUUGUUGAUUUAAUUUAUUAUCAUGAAUUUGGGCUACUAGGAUUUAAGGAUUGAGGCAAGAGAAUUCAAUGACAUCAUUUGGGAUUGGGAAUUGGGAUUGUGAGGGAGGGGAACUAUUUAGGCAUUUCCUUAAACCAACUAUUCGAAUUUAUUCGGCUCAAUUUGAUUUGGUUCUUCUCUAAAUUAGGUUCAAUUUUUAUUGACAUUUUACAUUAGAUUGAUUUUUCAAUUUUGGUUUAGUUUGGAACCGAACGGAUCAAACGCUCUCCUCUGCUAAAGGGUCCAUUUACUAUUAGUGUUUAGACUUCCAUGGAGAAAAGUAUCUCUUUAAGAGAGUUUUUUGUUUAACUUUUGGAAGCAGUUAAUAGCCGGUAGACAUCCCAAUAGAUGCACCAACCUAUUUGAUAAACCUAUCAAAAUUGCAACUUAUAG
rnacentral:misc_RNA from 1 species